GGGGGUAUGGCGAAAUUGGUAGACGCUGCGGACUUAAAAUCCGUUGGCUUAUAAGACCGUGAGGGUUCAAGUCCCUCUACCCCCA
rnacentral:tRNA from 1 species